UCCUCAUGUUACUGCAUCUGCAAUAACAAAUUUUAAGCAUGUAAAAUGUUUAUAUACUGUACUAUCAUCAUCAAAUUAUUUGAAUAUGGUUCUUACAGUAUGUUAAUUCCUGAAGCCAUCUGAUUAUGCAUUAGGUUUAAAUUGCAACAUACAUAUAUUUAAGUGUGUUGUGUAAGUAGCAUUUACAUUUUCCUAGGGCUUUAUUUACCUUAAAAUGUUAUAGUUGAGAAUUGUGUCACUUUAUACAAAGCAGUCAGUCACUGUGUAUAUUGGUGCAACCUACACAAGAUCGUUGAAUUUUGGGGCUGGCACCAAGCUGACGGUAGAACCAGGCGAGAAAGAGUCCACCCACCCCUCAGUUUUUGUACUCAGGCCUCAGAAGAGUCUGUCCCCUGCUGCCUGUUUGGUAAAGAAUUUCUAUCCCAAGGAUGUGGAAAUCUACAUGAAUUCUAAGAAGGGGGAUGUUACCCCAGUUCUUUCUCAUGAUGGAAAAUACAAUGCGGUAUACGUGGACAGAUCAGAUGAAAAAGAGGUGCAAUGUAAAGUCCAGCAUGAUGGGAAAUUGGAGACAGAAAGUGACAUUAAAGAAAUAUCAAAAGAUUCCGAUGAUCUUCCUGAAGGCAAACUAGAUUCUAGAUUCUAUAAUGAGUGUAAAAGGACUGCAGAAGAAAGCCCUGAUACAAGCUCUGAGAGAAUGAAUAUGUUGUCCAUGACAGUCCUGGGGGUUAGGAUGAUAUUUGCUAAAGCUCUGGCCUUUAACCUUCUGCUGACGGCAAAAUUUUUUCUCUUUUAAGAUUCCUCACCAGGGCCUAAAGUUUAACCUUGACUUUUCCUCAAAUGAAGAAAACCUGUGUGAUCUGAAGCUAUUUGAAGUUAUUUGAAGUUAUUUGAAGCUUAAAAAAUUCUGCACAAAUGUUAAAUUGUGAAAUGAUUUAACGGAGCAUAAUAUGAAUUUUCAUUGGUUCAUUAUUGUUGUUAAUGCAGCUAUAUACAUGUCUCUUCUAAUGUUCUUAUAAUUCACUAUUUAAAUACUGUAUACAUACUGCAUAUAUAAAUGAUAUGAUUUCCUAAUUUGUUAAUAAUUAAUGCCCUGUUUAUAUUUUCUGCUAAUAUAUUCAUAUACUAAUUUGCAAUAAUGUGCUUUCAAUCAUCUAUUAAAAUUAACUUUUUUUACCAAGUU